rnacentral:rRNA from 1 species
UACGUAGGUGGCAAGCGUUGUCCGGAAUCACUGGGCGUAAAGCGCGCGCAGGCGGCGAUCUACGUCUGGGGUGAAAGCCCGGAGCUCAACUCCGGGACUGCCUUGGAUACGGGAUCGCUUGAGAAUUGGAGAGGCAAGGGGAAUUCCACGUGUAGCGGUGAAAUGCGUAGAUAUGUGGAGGAAGACCGGUGGCGAAGGCGGUCUGCCGGGCAGUUUCUGACACUGAUGCGCGACAGCGUGGGGAGCAAACAGG